rnacentral:rRNA from 1 species
CUGGUUGAUCUUGCCAGAGGUUACUGCUAUCGGUGUUCGCUUAAGCCAUGCGAGUCAUAUGUUCACCGUGAACAUGGCGUACUGCUCAGUAACACGUGGAUAACCUGCUCUUGGGUCCGGCAUAACCCCGGGAAACUGGGGAUAUUACCGGAUAACGCACAUAUGCUGGAAUGCUUUC